rnacentral:lncRNA from 1 species
GCCCGGGCCAGGGCGCGUCCGCAGCUGCCGGAGUCCCGGGAUCUCCCUGCGUGUCCCUCCCGGUCCCUGUGCGGUCCCCGCGCUCUCGCCCCACCAUGCUCCUGCUUUUAGGGCUGUGCUUGGGGCUUUCUCUCUGCGCAGGGUCGCAGGAAGAGGCACGGAGCUGGGAUGACACUUCGGAGCAAGUAAGCGGGAGAGCUGGAGGGAGGGGUGGGCGGGGGCCGGCGGGGCUGCGGUCCCCUCCCUCAGCCUGCCUGGGCCGCGUGGCUUCUGGACGGGAGUCUUUGGGCAGUUCGGACGCGGGGCAGGGAGGCAUCACCUCCCUCUCCUUUCUCGACUUUCUGCACCAAAGCUUCCCCACCUGUCGGUCACUUGUGGGUCGCUUCUCCAUCAUCCGCAGUGCCAACCUGACCCUGAGGCUCCCGCGGAACUGUGCCUGAGACUCCCAGUCCUGCGGGACCAAGUUAACUUCUUGGCCUCGGGUUAUCUGGACGUGUUUUGGCCAGUCUUUGUUAAUUUCUGAGGCGACUAAGAGUUUGUUGCUAUUGUUGUUGAUCCAAGGAGAAGGGACAACCUGGGAAAGUUCCAGACUCAUGGAAGCUCAGCUUUUCCCACGUGGAAACGGGGAGAACACGACUUUCCCAUUAGGGUCUCAGCAAUGGGUUAGCAGUUUAAAAAUCCCCCGGAACUAAAGCGUCUUAGCCCCUUUAACUGAUACUCAGUAUGUUCGCUAGAGCUUGUGUUUUAACUGGCUUAGCUUCCCAGGUGAAUAAAACCAAUAAAUAUGAAAUCCCAAUCUGGUGUCCUACGACUAGGAAAGCCCUUUGGACAGUAGUAUAUAGCGGCUUCACACAAGUGGCACUGUGGAGACCUGUGAGAGGAGUGGCUGUCACAGUUAAAGUGGACAAGCUGCUUGCAUACACAACAUUUUAGUGACACACUGUUCAGUUUAAAGCCUGUUUUGUAGGUUGGGAGGAAGAUAUAAGCAGGGUACCUCUUUUCGCUUUUUUCCUGCCCCUCCUUUUGAAGAGCAGAUCUGGAAGACAAAUCUGCCCGGUCCUUGGUUAAUUUCAUGCAGACUAUUUCUUAUGAAUGGGCUUAUCGAUCAAGUGGAGGUGGCCGGUAAUUCUUUCUGGGGGUCAUCAGAUGGAAUAUAUACAAAUCCCAAUAGGCUUUUGUGUUGGUGUAGAACAAGUGCAGACUUUGGAUCCAGAGACAGGCUGGUCCCUUCUCUUCCAUUUACAGUGCAGUUCCUUUGGGCAUACAGCCAAGGACUUAGAUACCAUGUGGUAGGGACCUGAUAUAUGCAGUGGACACUCAGUACAUGGAAGGUGUUUUAGUAAGCAGUAAAGGGCAUGAUCGGUGGCUGUCUAGGUUUGAGUCCUGAUUCUGUCACUUACCAUCUCUGUUACCUUGGGCAGCUUACACUCAGUGCCUCAAUUUCCUCUUAUGUAAAAUAUAGGAAAAUAUUAGUUGUGUGUUUAAAACAGGGUUGGCACUGCAUGUUAGCAAUUGCUCUUGUGCAGCAGGAGAGCAGAAACAAGGAAUUUAGAGUAAAGAUCUUGUAACUUUUUUGUGGGAUGGAGGAAAGGCAGUGUGGGAAGGACAGAAGUGAAGAUUGUGUUUAUGAAUUAGGAGGACCUCUUACAGCUCUAACGUCCAGGAAGGCUUAACACUCUCUAAACUUUCCUUCUUAGAAAAACAUGGAUUCGGCCCAUUUAAUGGUUUCAUGUGAUCUUUAAUAUGUGGUAAUAAUUUGUGUUGAAAAUGACUAAAUAAAAAAAUACAAAUAAAACCUUUCAAAGUAUGAAGUUCUAUGAAAAUUUGCAAUUUUACCUUUGAGUAAAGCUCAAAAAUAGAAUAAGCGCUAUUUUUAAAAUUUAGUUAUUUCUUUUUUCUUUUUUGGUGAAGAAGAAUUUAAGAGACAGGUUCUAGUACAGACUUCCUGGGUUCACAUCCUGGCUGGGCACUUGCUAGGGGAUUAUUUAACAUUUCUGAACCUUUAUGUCUCAACAAGAAUGACAAAACUACUUAAUUACAUGGAUUUUGAAGAGUGAAAGAAUUAAUGUACUUAGACCUUAGAACAGAACCUGGAAAUGUUGUCAGUACUCUAUUCUCAAAUAUUAUGCUCUUCAAAAUUACAUGUAAACUUAAUUUAAAAAUUGUAUCCAGGUAUGUGAAUUUUAUGCAAAUCUUAAUGUAAUUAUAUAGACCCAUUAACUUGCAAUGCAAUUCUUAUUUGUCAUUUACCUUUAAUUAGAAAUAGACUAAUAACACCUCAUUCAAAUUCCUGUCUCCACCCCAACACUACUACUUUAAAAGACUCUUUCAGAAAAUUAAUCUUAAAGAGGAAGUCUCUUGUAUAAAAUCAGUCUGCUGAUUUAUAUGUUUUGUAAGUUUUAAAUUUAAAUAAAGAUUGGCUCUAUUCCUAUGAUUAGAAAAGCAGUUUUAGCUUCACAAAAUAGUAAUAGACACCAGUUAUUGAAUGUCUUCAGUCUCUCAGAGAGUUUGUUAAGAACUUUUGUGUUAAAGAACUCAGAAGCCAAGUGUGGCAGCACACGUCUGUAAUCCCAGGAGCUUGGGAGGCUGAGGCCGGAAAAUUGCAAGUUCAAAGCCAGUUUCAGCAAUUUAGCAAGCUCCUAAGAAUUUAAUGAAACUCUGUCUCAAAAUUUAAAAAAUUAAAAAAAAGACUGGGGAUGAGGCUCCACGUUUAAGUGCCCCUGAGUUGAAUCCCCAGUACUGUCCUCCCCAUCAAAAGCAAUAAAGUUAUGAUUAAUCACCUUUCAAAUAUAGUCAUACUGCCGGGUUCAAAUCUGGGCCCCACUAUUUCUUGGCUGUGUAUACUUGGGCGAGUAACAAACUCUCUGGAUCUCAGUUUCAUCAUCUGCACAAAAGAGUUGAUAAUAGUUCUUGCCUCAUUGGCAGGAGUGGAUUUAGGUUUGAGGAUGAAAAUAAAGUUAUCAUAAUUUGCAGAGCCCUUUUUAAAGGGAAAGAAUAUCAAAUUAUGACUACAAAAUUAGGUGCUAAAGGGACCUCUUAUUUAGAGUGAUAAAUUGCAACAGAUGACAACUGAAAAAACAUCACAAAUAUCACUCAGUUUUAGGGGUCUCUUACAAGGGAGGGAGCUCCAAACUUAUAGUCUAAACAUAAUAAAAUUUAUUUAAUAAAUUGUGGUUUCUUGGCAUGUAGGAGACCCUCAGUUUGGUAAUAAAUUUGACAAUAAAUUGUAUGCUCUCAUGGUUAUUGUGAGGACAGAGUUAAUUCAGGCAAAGCAUUUGCCUAUAGUAGACACUAAGGUAAUAUUAGCAGUUUUUAGCAUUUAUGUCCAGCCUUAUUAAAUCUUCACAAGUUCCAUGACAAAGUCCUCAGUGAGCUGCUUUACAAAGGACAACCAGGGAAGGCCGCCAGAAGAAGCAAUGCACCCAGGCUAACUGGGCGGAGCCCAUACCAGAACCCAGAUGUGCAGAGGUCAAGGUUGGGGCUGGCCUUGACUCCUCCAAGCAGCACCCCUCUUUCAUGUGGACAGUUUAGUUUGUUUAAAUGUAAUAUUCAUUUGUAACUCCUGGCACAUCAAUAGUGUUCAAUAAAUGCUGAUCAUAAUUCUAGCAUCUAUUGUAAUACAUUUCCAAUUCCCUGAAUUUGGAAAUUUCUUACAAAUUUCUAUUUAGAGUCACAUCUUUGUAUUUUGGGAAAAAACAGAGAAGACAAAUACAUAUGUGUGUGUAAAUAUAUGAAACUUUCUAAAGCCAGUCCCAGAUUGUGCAAACUGCAGGCCCCUCAAUAAUGCCUCCCUUGUGUGCAUGAAUGUGAUUGCUGAAAUGGAAUUGUAGAACUGAAUGGGGAAGGAGGAUGCUGUGGGAGAAAUUCCAGAGAUGUGCUCAUUCCCAAGCCAGCCAUAUCUCAUUUCUUGGGGGUGGAAAGGAGGGGUGGGAGUCCUGAGCACUGUGUGAUGAGUUGUAUGUGACUCUGUGUUUCUAACUAGCACUUUCUCAAAGCCUUGGAUGCUCAGGUUUGAGGAAUCUUGCUCAAUGUGCUGUUGGAGUUGCAGUCUGGAAUGUGAGCAAUGUUUCUGUGUCCCUGGAGCUGCAAGGUUGAUUCAGGAUGAUGGAGCCGCAGGAUGAAGGCCUGAGCUUAUGUUUGUGUGUGGAAAUGGUAGGGUCAGGGACAAGUGGGUGUCCUAAACCACUCAUUAUUUUCCUAUAUUUCCAUUAUUUUUCACAAAGAAACAAAAUAGGUUGACUUGCCUUAAGGCCAGCUGAUUUUUUACCCCAAAUCUUCCAGGAAAUUGUUUGCAAUUUUAGCCCAAAUUUGAAGUUUCUUCUUUCAUUUCUGAAGUUAUAGAAACCCCGAAUUGCAAGUGGUUAGUAGCUGAACAACUUGCAGCAGCUUUACCCCAAAGGAAGAACAGUUUUGUGCAGGUGACAUAGAAUUACCCAAAGGGAAAUACUCCCACACUGGCUCUUCUUCAACUGGUGACAAACAACAUCUUAAGUGACCUUCCAUGUCUGACCUUGGUUUUGGUUCAAGUUCUACAGCAGACCUCUAAGGUAACUUGUCUCAUUAGUUACCUGUAUUAAACCUGCUUCCCUUUCAUCCCAUUCCAUACAGACAAAGCUAGAUCUAGUCGUACCUCUAUCAUAUAGCCAUCCAUAGUCACUCAAGAACAAAAUGAACUUGACCUUUUCCCAUUCCUUUUUUGGUUUUUGUUUUUCCUUUGUGAGACUGGGGAUUGAACCCAGAGCCUCACACGUGCAAGGAAAGUGCUGUACCAUUGAGCUCCAUCCCCAGCCCUUUUCCAUUCCUAAAUAUAUAUAUAUAUUUUAGUUAGAUAGUAAGUCCUUGAUGGUAGAGAUCAUGGCUUAUAUUUCUUAAUAAAUACUGUGAUCUGGACAUCUGAUGCUGGGGAAGUAAGCUCUAAGUCUUGCUAGAACCAAAGAAUCCUACUUGAAUCAUCUCUUUAGGUUGCAAGCAAGUUGGUGGGAGCUCUGAGGUUACUAUUUAUGGUAACUCUUUCCAUGAAGCUGAAAAUCAGUAACUUCCUUGUUCCCAGUUCCUACCCCCAGAUUCUUAUAUAAGACAAUGGAAAAUUACUCAAACAAUAAAAAGGAUCAGGAAUUCCUAACUCAAAACAAUGAUGAUGACAUUGGUGCCAUUUGUACUUCCAGUCCCAGCUGGCACCUGGAAUCUGUCUGUACUGGGAUGUUUUGGUUCUGGGUCAACCUGAGUUUAAACUUGGACUGAAGUGUAGCCAUCAGGAUCCCCUGAGACAUCAGAUAGUUAUCUCAAAAAUGGAAAACCCACUUCUCUUGUUCUCCUUAAAGCUUGCUUAUUUCCUUGUAAAAUCUAUUUUUAAAAGGAGGAGACGUCAAAGAAAAUACUUUAGAUCAAUCAGAGAACUUAAUACCUAGAGGGGUUGGGCUUUCCUUCUGACCAUAGUUAUUUUUAAGUGGUCCCCAGUCUAUUCUGCAAUGUUAGGGAGGGGAAGGCCUCAGAUGAACCUGCAAAACUGGUAAAUAACUUGCCCAUGAUCCUUCCAGUGGUUUCUGAUACAUCUUACCUCCUUUUAGAAAUCAGAGACCACCAUCCACCUAGGAAUUGUUUGGUUCCCAUUUGGAUUCAGGGUGGCUGUCAACCUAAAUCCUGUAGUUUCCUUUCUGUUCUUGAAUUUUGAGUAUGAAGCUAUCUAGUGGUUUCUAGUUUUAACUUAUAACACACACACAUACUUGGGAUAAGGAAGAGGAUGGGGUUAAACAAUUUCUGUAAUACAAUCAGUUUUCAAAAGGAAAUAUCUUUAUUGUUUUUUCUAUAUGGAAGGGAUACCUGAUAGUUUGUCAAAACUGAAGAAAAUACAGAAAAGUAUUAAGAGAAAGAAUUCAACCAUCCCAAAGUAACCAUCUUUAGCAUUUUGGUGCGGGUUCCACACAUAAAAACACUUAUCCUUGCAAAAAUGAAUCAUAUUAAAUGUAGUGUUUGUUGCCUGAUAUAAUAUUUUAAAUUGUGUCAUGAAUGUAUCUGUCAGGAUAAGCUGAGUUAUGCUAGAUAACAAGCCCCUCAUUUAUUUCUUGCUUAUGCCACUUGUCUGUUCCUGGUUGGCAGUGGAGCGCAUGUGUACACUGUUGUCCCUUGUGAACAUGGGCCUGAUGAAGCUACCGAUCUAAAAACUGCUAAUUACUAUACUGGAGGAUCCAGUGUCUAUAAUUUAAUUCUUGGUCCAGAAGUGACAAACACUACUUGCCUUCACAACUUAUUGGCCACAGCUAGUCAUGUGGAUCCACUUACCUUCCAAGGUAGUAAUCUUUCAGGAGGAGAGCUAGAAAAAUAUUUGAUGAAUAGCAUUAAAGUUUAGUAACAAGAGGAUUUGUUGAUAUCAGUAAAUAUAUAUCCACAUCAUUAUUCUCAACAGCUCUGUUGUAAUUAAUGUAUCAUGAUAUAUUUAAUUGAACCAUGUUUUAAGGAUAUUUUGGACAAUUUCCAAUUAUGAACAAUUGCUUUAAAAGUUGCAAAGAAUUUUCUUGUGUAUCUAUUUUUUUCCAUUGAUUUCUCCUCCUAUGAUAUUUUUCUUUUUAAAAAUUUAUUUAUUUUUUAUUUUAAUUUGUAGUAUAUGACAGCAGAAUGAAUUACAAUUCAUAUUACACAUAUUGAGCACAAUUUUUCAUAUACAAAGUAUAUUCACACCAUUCGUGUCUUCAUACAUGUACUUAGGGUAAUGAUGUCCAUCUCAUUCCACCAUCUUUUUUACCCCCAUGCCCCCUCCCAUCCCCUCCCACCCCUCUGCCCUAUCUAAAGUUUGUCUAACCCUCCUAUGCUCCCCCUCCCAACCCCACUAUGAAUCAGCCUUCUUAUUUCAGAGAAAACAUUCAACCUUUGGUUUUUUGGGAUUGGCUAACUUCAUUUAACAUUAUAUUCUCCAAUUCCAUUCAUUUACCUGCAAAUGUCAUGAUUGUAUUCUCUUUUAUUGCUGAGUAAUAUUCCAUUGUGUAUAUUAUGCUUUUCUAUAAGUAGAAUUUUCAAAUUAAAAGACAUGCAUUCAGGUGAGAAUAUAAAAUGCUAUAGUCAUUUUGGAAAAACGUUUUGGCAGAUUCUUAAAAGUUAAAUUUGCCAGUAAUUUCAGUAAUAGGAAAAUAAAAGUAUGUCUCCCAUACAAAGGAUUGACUGUGAAUCUUCAUUCAAGUUCAGAAUCAUUCAAAAUAGCUACAAAGUAGAAACAACCCAAAUGUCCAUUAUCUGGCGAGCAAAUGAAAUGUAGUACAUCCAUACAAUGGAAUAUCAUUCAGAUAUAAAAAAGAAUUGAGUACUGGUUGCUGCAGUAUGGACAAACCUUGGAAAAAAUCAUGCUAUGUGAAAAAUGUCAGACACAAAAGUCUACAUAUAGUAAGUUUCCAUUUAUAUGAAAUGACCGAAAUGGGCAAAACCAUAGGGACAAAGUAAAUUUAGUGGUUUCAAAGGGGUAGGAGAAAAGAAGAGAUUCAGAGAUGAUGGCUAAAGGAAAUAGGGUUUCUUUCUUGAACAGUAAAAUGUUCAAGUUGAUUAUAGCCGUAUUUGCACAACUCUGUAUAUGGUAAAAAAAUGUUUUUACUUGUGCACAGAAAGGAAUGAAUUUCAUUUUAUGUAAAUUACACUUCAUACCAUUGUUUAAAGAAUAUGCAGGCAAUCCCUGGCAUAUUUUUCAAGAUUUUGAUCUACAUUGUCAAAUUGCCCUCCAGAAAGAAUAUUUUAUUACUCUUAGCAAUAACCAUUUACACUGCUACUAUUGAGACAGAAAUUUGUCAUAAGUAACGUUUGGCACCUAGCUACAACUUUCAAAUCAGUCUGGAGGGGCCCAUUGAUUAUGACUGUGGUUUUUAAAGAAGGUGAUUUUAUCACUUUUCUGUGUCCCUCUGCUGCACAUGGGAAAACAUGACAAAUCAUCCAGAAAAAACACAAUAAGAAAAUUCAUGGUAAAGAAAAAAAAAUCAGGGUAAGUUCAGUUUUGCUUUCAGAGUUUCUAGGAGGUUUUUUUUUUUUUUUCUUUUUCUUUUUUCUUUUCUUUUUUUUUUUUUUUUUUGUGGUGCUGGAGAUUGAAACCAGGGCCUUGUUCAUGUGAGGGAAGUACUCUACCAACUGAGCCACAUCCCUAACACUCUAAGAGUUUUGAGUUGCAUAAUGAGCCCAUCAGAAUAAGGCUGAGUACCUUCACUGAUCAUAAUAGGUACAACAGCAAGGAGCUCAAUGUCAAGCCCAAAGUAAAAUGAAACAGAGUAAAGAUAUUCUAAUAUCAUCUCUCCUCUUACCGGAAAGACCAUUCAGGUGACCAGGCAGGUUAAGAGCUGACCAGAUCUGUUGGCUCCAGUUCUGGCCUAGAAACAAACUCCGAUAUAAAGCUAAAACUACCUUUUGAGAUAGAUAGUCCUUUUGGUGAAUUUGAGUGAAUCUGAAUUUUAACCCUCAUAUUUAAGGACACCUCAUGAUCUUGCUCUUCCAUUUCUCCUCUUCCAUGUAGGUUGGACUCAGGGUCCCCAGGCAACUCAGGCUGCUGCAGAGGCUGGUACG